GCCCGGAUGGCGGAAUCGGUAGACGCGCUGGUCUCAAACACCAGUGGAUUCAUUUCCAUGCCGGUUCGACCCCGGCUCCGGGUA
rnacentral:tRNA from 1 species